AGUCGCAGGGUUGGAAAAUCCGCCCUGCAUGAGACGAAGGCGUGAUGCGGAGCGAAAUGAAGUAGUGAAGCUGCGGCCCCUUCCUGUCGAGAAAAGCCGCUAUCGUGUAGCAAGGGCCCGUACCGUAAACCGACACAGGUGGAUGAGGAGAGGAUCCUAAGGCCGGCGGGAGAAGUGUUGUUAAGGAACUCGGCAAAAUGACUCCGUAACUUCGGGAGAAGGAGUGCUGCGCAAGCAGCCGCAGAGAAAUGGCCCAAGCAACUGUUUAGCAAAAACACAGGUCUAUGCGAAACCGGAAGGUGAGGUAUAUGGGCUGACGCCUGCCCGGUGCUGGAAGGUUAAGGGGAGAGCUUAGCGCAAGCGAAGGUUUGAACUUAAGCCCCAGUAAACGGCGGCCGUAACUAUAACGGUCCUAAGGUAGCGAAAUUCCUUGUCGGGUAAGUUCCGACCCGCACGAAAGGCGUAAUGAUUUGGGCACUGUCUCAACAACACACCCGGUGAAAUUGAAAUACCAGUGAAGAUGCUGGUUACCCGCGCCAGGACGGAAAGACCCCAUGGAGCUUUACUCCAGCCUGAUACUGGGAUUCGGUAUUGCAUGUACAGGAUAGGUGGGAGGCUGAGAACUCAUGGCGCCAGCCGUGAGGGAGCCGGUGUUGGGAUACCACCCCUGCAGUACUGGGUUUCUAACCUGCGCCCGUGACCCGGGCGGGGGACAAUGUCAGGCGGGGAGUUUGACUGGGGCGGUCGCCUCCGAAAGGGUAUCGGAGGCGCUCAAAGGUCUCCUCAGGAUGGUUGGAAACCAUCCAGAGAGUGCAAAGGCAGAAGGAGGCUUGACUGCGACACCGACGGGUGGAGCAGGUACGAAAGUAGGACUUAGUGAUCCGGUGGCAUAAAGUGGGAUUGCCAUCGCUCAACGGAUAAAAGCUACCCUGGGGAUAACAGGCUUAUCACUCCCAAGAGUUCACAUCGACGGAGUGGUUUGGCACCUCGAUGUCGGCUCAUCGCAUCCUGGAGCUGGAGCAGGUUCCAAGGGUUGGGCUGUUCGCCCAUUAAAGCGGUACGCGAGCUGGGUUCAGAACGUCGUGAGACAGUUCGGUCCCUAUCCGGCGCGGGCGCAGGAUAUCUGAGAGGAGCUGUCCUUAGUACGAGAGGACCGGGAUGGACCGUCCGCUGGUGGACCGGUUGUCAUGCCAAUGGCACGGCCGGGUAGCCAAGACGGGAAGGGAUAAACGCUGAAGGCAUCUAAGCGUGAAGCCCCCCUCAAGAUGAGAUAUCCAUACUCGAAAGAGUGAGAGACCCCUUAGAGACGAUGAGGUAGAUAGGGCAGAGAUGGAAGCACAGCGAUGUGUGGAGUUGACUGUUACUAAUCGGUCGAUAGCUUGACCU
rnacentral:rRNA from 1 species